GCAAGAACCGCGUUGGGAAUUGGAGCCGCCAGCGUGCCGGCCCCGGCGUACUCCAUGUCCCAGUAGGUGUAGCUAGCCGCGCGGCUGGAUGAAUGUCCCGCUGCGCCGCGCCGAUCCAGUCGAUUCCUGCCUCGCGCGGCAUCCUGCAUCGAUGCCCGCUAGCUCCUCGAUUGGGGCUGUUCCCGUACGGUCCGUCGACGCGCGCGCGCGCUUCUCUCUGGCUCAGCUCUCUCGAUCGGGACUCUGCCGCUGCAGCCUGCAGGCAUCGGCAUGGCACGUACGGCCAGCCACACCAUGUGGAACAGGAACGAGACUAAAGCGCAGAUAGCCUCGUACCGUACGCGUGCUUAAUUAAUCACACCAUUGUUCAACACGGAGAUCGGUAGAUACGUACGGGUAUGCUUGGAUUUUGGGCCCAGCCAGUCCUGCCAAAGCUUUUGGCGUGACCCAAAUUGUGGUGACUGUUAUAACUAGACAUCCAAAUGGCGACCAUUAGAUUUGGGUGUGUGCCAAUAUCUUGAUAAGGCUAAAUUUGUCUCAAAAUCUCUAACAGGCAGCGUUGCCGAACAAAAAAAACAUAAAAAAAUAAAAUCAGGAAAUUCAAGAAAGCUUUAUCGAAAUAGCCAUAUAAUACACUCCAAUAUUUCAAAUCCCAAUUUGAGUCUCAACUCGAGAAAAACAAACAACCCCUCAUUACAUAGAUAUAAACAUUUUUAGAUUGUGUAACUUCUUUUAUUAACUUAGGAAAAACCCAGUUUUAGUUCAGUUAUUGUAUCAUCCAGUCUCUAAACGUUAGUUGGAUAGCGUUAGCUAAUUAGCCCAUUCCAUCAUCGACUUCAAAACGUAAGUUAUUGUUUUUCACCUUGUUGGGUUAUAUUUUUAAUAUUAACUUGUAUCACUGAACUUUUUUCCACCACUUAGAAGCAGAGCGGAUUUUUUGCACCUGUCUUCGGAUUGUACCGUUAUAUUUCCUUUGCAAAUACAACACAUCUUCUAUACAAUGCCAUAUACAUGAUGGUAGACCCCACUCCCCACCUGCUGCCUUGUCCCUCCUCCCUCUCCGUCAAGUGUCGUUGCGUCGCUCGCAUUUGCAUCCGACUGUGCAUUCCCUACUUCCUCAACGCAGGUGGCGGGGACGGGACCAGGCACACAUGCGAAUUGCUCGUGCUCGCCAAUGGGCGGGGAGGCUUGUAUUGGAGGAACGACAUCUGGAGGAACUUCUCGUGCUCGUCGGUUAUGGGCUCGCAAGCUUCCCGCUCGUUACCAACGUCUCGAUAGUUGCGCUACCUGUCCCCCUCCUCUCUCCCUUUCUCUCUACACUCUGCCAGUCAGGAUGGUGCAUGACUGGUCGGAUCCAGGGCCACCCUCGAUAGACGGAAUCUGGACAUGCCACCCACCGUCGCCGCUGGAUAUCCUAUCCUGCAUCCCGUCCAGCAGGCCGAUGCCACGGGCUAUGAGAGAGAGGGAGAGGAGAGGGCGAC
rnacentral:lncRNA from 1 species